GGCCGAUUUCUUUUGAUUUUAAUUCUUUGGGCCCUUAACUUAUUCAUUUGGGCUGUGCAGCUUCUACAUUUUAAAUAGACUGCACUAUUUUAAUUAAUUAGACUUAUUAAGUUUGAUUAAUUAUUUUAAUUUUCAUAAUAAUAUUUAUUUAUUAUUAUGUGCAUAUUUUAAGUAAAUUACUUAUUAUAUGCUAAGCAUGACAUGAAAUUGCAUUUAAUUUACAAUAAAAGUAUUUAUGAUUUAAUUGGUUUUAAUUAUAAUUCCAAUUAUUAAAGAAAGACGAGUAAGAAUAUUGUUGGUGUUCUUAACUCAAGAGAUUUGUUUUCAAUUAUUUAUUUAUUAAAUUUUGAAAACCCGGCUAAGUGAAUCAUAGAAUGUUAAGCACUUCACCAUGACUUAAGAUUAGAUUCAAGGAGACCUAUUAAGAAUAGAUUUCUUGUAGGCUUUGAACGUCAGGAGGAUUAGCACUGCUAUUCCGAUUCAGAGAUAACGUUAAACGACAGGCAUUGCCUAUACAGGUUAGCGGCAGGUGAUGACAGGGCAGAGCUGAGGCUAGAGUUCAACUCCUUAUUUUGACUUCCGCUGUAGAACUAGCCAGUAUCUAUCUUUUGUUGAGCCUAAACUAUUGACUCUCAAGUAUUUCGAUUAGUGAAUGUUGGUUAUCUGAAGCAUGACACUAAACUUGUGAUCC